UGACUGCGUACCUUUUGUAUAAUGGGUCAGCGACUUAUAUUCUGUAGCAAGGUUAACCGUAUAGGGGAGCCGGAGGGAAACCGAGUCUUAACCGGGCGUUAAGUUGCAGGGUAUAGACCCGAAACCCGGUGAUCUAGCCAUGGGCAGGUUGAAGGUUGGGUAACACUAACUGGAGGACCGAACCGACUAAUGUUGAAAAAUUAGCGGAUGACCUGUGGCUGGGGGUGAAAGGCCAAUCAAACCGGGAGAUAGCUGGUUCUCCCCGAAAGCUAUUUAGGUAGCGCCUCGUGAAUUCAUCUCCGGGGGUAGAGCACUGUUUCGGCUAGGGGGCCAUCCCGGCUUACCAACCCGAUGCAAACUGCGAAUACCGGAGAAUGUUAUCACGGGAGACACACGGCGGGUGCUAACGUCCGUCGUGAAGAGGGAAACAACCCAGACCGCCAGCUAAGGUCCCAAAGUCAUGGUUAAGUGGGAAACGAUGUGGGAAGGCCCAGACAGCCAGGAUGUUGGCUUAGAAGCAGCCAUCAUUUAAAGAAAGCGUAAUAGCUCACUGGUCGAGUCGGCCUGCGCGGAAGAUGUAACGGGGCUAAACCAUGCACCGAAGCUGCGGCAGCGACACUGUGUGUUGUUGGGUAGGGGAGCGUUCUGUAAGCCUGUGAAGGUGUGCUGUGAGGCAUGCUGGAGGUAUCAGAAGUGCGAAUGCUGACAUAAGUAACGAUAAAGCGGGUGAAAAGCCCGCUCGCCGGAAGACCAAGGGUUCCUGUCCAACGUUAAUCGGGGCAGGGUGAGUCGACCCCUAAGGCGAGGCCGAAAGGCGUAGUCGAUGGGAAACGGGUUAAUAUUCCCGUACUUGGUGUUACUGCGAAGGGGGGACGGAGAAGGCUAUGUUGGCCGGGCGACGGUUGUCCCGGUUUAAGCGUGUAGGUGUGUGUUCCAGGUAAAUCCGGUUCACUUUAACACUGAGGCGUGAUGACGAGGCACUACGGUGCUGAAGCAACAAAUGCCCUGCUUCCAGGAAAAGCCUCUAAGCAUCAGGUAACAUCAAAUCGUACCCCAAACCGACACAGGUGGUCAGGUAGAGAAUACCAAGGCGCUUGAGAGAACUCGGGUGAAGGAACUAGGCAAAAUGGUGCCGUAACUUCGGGAGAAGGCACGCUGACACGUAGGUGAAGUGAUUUACUCACGGAGCUGAAGUCAGUCGAAGAUACCAGCUGGCUGCAACUGUUUAUUAAAAACACAGCACUGUGCAAACACGAAAGUGGACGUAUACGGUGUGACGCCUGCCCGGUGCCGGAAGGUUAAUUGAUGGGGUCAGCGCAAGCGAAGCUCCUGAUCGAAGCCCCGGUAAACGGCGGCCGUAACUAUAACGGUCCUAAGGUAGCGAAAUUCCUUGUCGGGUAAGUUCCGACCUGCACGAAUGGCGUAAUGAUGGCCAGGCUGUCUCCACCCGAGACUCAGUGAAAUUGAACUCGCUGUGAAGAUGCAGUGUACCCGCGGCAAGACGGAAAGACCCCGUGAACCUUUACUAUAGCUUGACACUGAACAUUGAGCCUUGAUGUGUAGGAUAGGUGGGAGGCUUUGAAGCGUGGACGCCAGUCUGCGUGGAGCCGACCUUGAAAUACCACCCUUUAAUGUUUGAUGUUCUAACGUGGAUCCGUGAUCCGGGUUGCGGACAGUGUCUGGUGGGUAGUUUGACUGGGGCGGUCUCCUCCUAAAGAGUAACGGAGGAGCACGAAGGUUGGCUAAUCCUGGUCGGACAUCAGGAGGUUAGUGCAAUGGCAUAAGCCAGCUUGACUGCGAGCGUGACGGCGCGAGCAGGUGCGAAAGCAGGUCAUAGUGAUCCGGUGGUUCUGAAUGGAAGGGCCAUCGCUCAACGGAUAAAAGGUACUCCGGGGAUAACAGGCUGAUACCGCCCAAGAGUUCAUAUCGACGGCGGUGUUUGGCACCUCGAUGUCGGCUCAUCACAUCCUGGGGCUGAAGUAGGUCCCAAGGGUAUGGCUGUUCGCCAUUUAAAGUGGUACGCGAGCUGGGUUUAGAACGUCGUGAGACAGUUCGGUCCCUAUCUGCCGUGGGCGCUGGAGAACUGAGGGGGGCUGCUCCUAGUACGAGAGGACCGGAGUGGACGCAUCACUGGUGUUCGGGUUGUCAUGCCAAUGGCACUGCCCGGUAGCUAAAUGCGGAAGAGAUAAGUGCUGAAAGCAUCUAAGCACGAAACUUGCCCCGAGAUGAGUUCU
rnacentral:rRNA from 1 species